rnacentral:rRNA from 1 species
ACCUGGCGGCAGGCCUAACACAUGCAAGUUCGAGCGGAAACGAGUUAUCUGAACCUUCGGGGGACGAUAACGGCGUCGAGCGGCGGACGGGUGAGUAAUGCCUAGGAAAUUGCCCUGAUGUGGGGGAUAACCAUUGGAAACGAUGGCUAAUACCGCAUAAUGCCUACGGGCCAAAGAGGGGGACCUUCGGGCCUCUCGCGUCAGGAUAUGCCUAGGUGGGAUUAGCUAGUUGGUGAGGUAAUGGCUCACCAAGGCGACGAUCCCUAGCUGGUCUGAGAGGAUGAUCAGCCACACUGGAACUGAGACACGGUCCAGACUCCUACGGGAGGCAGCAGUGGGGAAUAUUGCACAAUGGGCGCAAGCCUGAUGCAGCCAUGCCGCGUGUGUGAAGAAGGCCUUCGGGUUGUAAAGCACUUUCAGUCGUGAGGAAGGUGGUGUAGUUAAUAGCUGCAUUAUUUGACGUUAGCGACAGAAGAAGCACCGGCUAACUCCGUGCCAGCAGCCGCGGUAAUACGGAGGGUGCGAGCGUUAAUCGGAAUUACUGGGCGUAAAGCGCAUGCAGGUGGUUUGUUAAGUCAGAUGUGAAAGCCCGGGGCUCAACCUCGGAAUAGCAUUUGAAACUGGCAGACUAGAGUACUGUAGAGGGGGGUAGAAUUUCAGGUGUAGCGGUGAAAUGCGUAGAGAUCUGAAGGAAUACCGGUGGCGAAGGCGGCCCCCUGGACAGAUACUGACACUCAGAUGCGAAAGCGUGGGAGCAAAC